AAUACAUUAGUACAAUACCAGAAACACAAUUUAUUUAGAUUCCAGUAGAAAACAUAAUAGAAAGCACAAGUAGAGAUUGUAACUUACAAGUCUCCCAAUUCAAUUAACCAUCUUCAAUCUCUCAAACUUGACCUUAUUGAACCUUUCUUCACAACAAGUAAUACGCUUCACUGCGAUUAGCAGAAGGAGAACUUAUCUUUAGUUUUGUCAAGAAACUGGAAAUAUGCAUGCCUCCAUGACCUCUUUAUCACCAAACCGCCAAAAACAACCCAAAAUCCCAUGAUGAACCCCAAUGCUGUGCUUGCAUACAACCAUAGUUUUCCAUAAUUCUCUUCUUCAUCUUCUUCAGCAUCUGCAUCCUGAUCGUUGUUGGAUGCUGCAUUGGUUUGGCAAUGGUGGUCCACAAAGUCCUGAGUUUCCUUCAAUGACAUUGGGAUCAUUGAAGGUAAGGAAUUGGUUGGCUGAUGGAAUUGGCCCAGAGAGGUUGUUGUAUGACAAGUUCAAUUCAUGUAGUGAAAUCAAAGAGGUCAUGUUUAAAGGAAUUGGAACCUAAGUAUGAUUACUAGAGAGGUCAAGAGCUUCUAAGUUAUGCUGGCUUCCAAUACUGCAUGGUAUCUUUCCAAUACUGCAUGCUUAAUCUCAACCAUUUGAGUGAUGGUAGUUUGGAACACAAAGAACUUAGAAUUUAACCAGAUAGAUUGUUGUUAGUCUAUGAUGGUCAAAUCUUUUAAACCCAUCCAAUCCCUAGGAAUAUUUCCAGAUAAAUAAUUCCUUGAGAAAUCAAGAAAGACCAGUGACUUCAUUUUACUUGAGAAAGGGGGAACACUGCCAUUCAUAUUAUUCCUCGAAAGACCUGGCACACUUAACUUUGACAUCUCACUGCCAAUGUUUAGGGGAAUUAGUCUGGAAAAUCUGUUGCUUGCCAAGCUUAGAUUUAUUAGAACUGGCCAAAGUGGGAUGGAACCUACCAAGCUGUUGUUGUUCAAAUACACGAACUGUAGAGGAGAAUUUAUGGAGUUAGGAAGUUCUCCUCUCAACUGGUUGUCAGAGAGUUCCAACCACGUGAGGAGAGGUGAAAUUCUCCAAAAUCAGUCGGGUAUUGUAUCGAAAUUCCAACAUUUGUGUGUUAUAUCUCUAAGGAAAUUUUGAGUUCUGAACUGUGCUGGAAAUGCAGGACUCAUAAGCUUGCAAUCUGUGAUAUUGAGAAAUGCAAGAUUUAAGGGAGGAAUCCAUUCAUGAUUGACAUUGAAAACAACAGAGUUAGAUAACUGGCGUGACAGUUCAAACUCACCAAUUUAGUGAGUUUUUGGAAAUGGUUUUCAGAUAAUAUAAAAAAAAAAAAAAACAACUUCCCAUGGACAACUCCUCAGAUCCAAGUACUGUAACUCUCUGAGUUGUCUAAUACUUUCUAGAAUAGUUCCAUUCAUUUCUGAGUUAUAGGAAAGCUCCAUGUCCUGUAAAUGCAACAGGUUUCCUAUUGAUGUUGGAAGUGGACCGGAGAUUGAGUUAAGGGAAAGGUCCAUGAUCUAGUCAGACACUGUACUUCAACUGCGUGACAAAAAUUCAGAAGCUAGGGUAUAUGAUUGCCUAACUAAAUUAUUUGCGCGAAGUUCUUUUCCUUUCAUUUCCUCCUUUCUUUCUUUUCGUCUUUUCCUGGUUUGAAUAUUUUUGGAUGGAUGGAUAAAGUUCCCCACCAAGCUUUAUAUGUCAAUUUACUGAUAUAAAAACCUUAGCAGCCCAGAAAACUUAAUGAAUUUCUAUUAGUACAACCGUUUUGUGUCCCAAUAUUUAAAUUCCCUUCUGCAAUAAGCUUAGUAAAACAGUUAUCAUUCUUUGAAGGAAAACAUUAAAGAGAUAGACGUUGUUUCCAAUCACAAUUAUCAUAGUAGAAUUCUUGAUGAAGAGUGUUUAUCUGAGUAUCCAAUCACAAUUCACAUGGGAUGUUCAGUGCUUAUGAUAUCCAUGGGGCCUUUCUUCUGUGGACAAGUUUCCUAUUCACCAAACUCUGCAAAUUGAAGUAAUGAAUCAAUGUACUUUCACAUCAUUUUCUAAGGCAGGGUAUUCCUUUCAUACUGUACGCCGAACAAACACAGGUAGCAGCAUGAAAUACACGAGUACUAUUCAUCAUCAUCAUCAUCAUAGGUUAGUUGAUUAGAGAAUCUAAUUCCGGCACCUUAUUUUUGCAAGAGAACUGCCAACUUGGCAAAAGUUGUGGGUCAACAUUGCUCAAAGAUGGCAUAAUGAAUUUCUAGCAGACCUUGUAGCAUUGGAGGACUGACCAAAACCGAACAGGUUUCUCGGCACGUUGAAUGUCAGUUGGGCUUGAUUGCCGCAGAUCUUCGAUCAGAUUGUGUAAAGCUUCAUUUGUUUUUGCCAAUGGAUUGCACAAAGGUUCAGGCCGGGCAUUAUCCUCUUCGGCAAUAAGAAGUGAAAUUGAUUCCUAGCAGUCAAAACACCUCCAUGAACAAGUGCUGCACUCUCGCUACUCCAAAGAUAUGGAGCUGGAUCAUUAACUGAACUGCAUUGUGUUGGCAAUGGAGGUCCGCAAAGUCCUGAGUUUCCUUCAAAUGAGGUUGGGUCAUUGAAGGUGAGGAAUUGGUUGGCUGAUGGGAUUGGCCCAGAGAAGUUGUUGAAUGACAAAUUCAAUUUGCUUAGUG